UGACAAUUCAGUCACUGCAGCAACAGCACCAGGCGCUUCUACAGCUGGGGUCACUAGCCUCACAAUUCAGGUACAGGCCAUGCAGGUCCAGCCAGAUGCACAAUUGGAUGCACAAGCCUUUUACAACUCCACCGUUGCAGCAUAUGUUUCACCAAAAUGUGCCAGCUCAACCUCUCAGGAUUGGCCUCUCUGCCAUUGUACGAUGGUGCUGCAGUCCAUCCUCCUCACUCUUGUAGCCACAAGAUUCCACACAUCACUCCACCGCCCACACCAGACAAACCCAUGCAGCACCUGUGCUGAAUUCACACCACUGGAACAGCAAUGAAGGAUGAAACUACUGUAAUACUCUACUACUACUGCAGUGACACAAACAUUAUUGCAAAUACUGCCCAAAUCCGUAAUCCAGACCCCCAGCUACGGGAAGACAUCACCGCUGUACAGGACCAUUGUACAACACUGACCCUGGCCGACAUCAGCCCCUUGAUCGAGCUGGCCACCCAUCUGCAGCUCCCGGUCACUUGCUGCAAUCCAUCCAGAGCAGUGAUGGGACUGGACAGACGCCCCCUGAGGUCCAGUCAUGUUUACAGUACUAUCAGACAGGACCACUCCUGCUACGUAUCAAACCUGACCACGAGGAGCCGGUGGUGUUUUUUCUCACUCCAACCCUACAGGAUCCCCUUGUUUGUGGGUUCCACUGGUUGGCCACCCACAAGUCCCACAUCCACUGGGCCACCAGCACCAUUCAAGGAUGGGUUAAACAGGCUGAACACCCUCAAUGCACACAGACCCCAUCCAAAACAUAGCCAUGCUCCACCUUGGCCAUGCCCCUUGCCCCAUGCCGUGCUCUGUACAUCAAGCCAUGUCAAGCCAAGUCACACCCAUGUUACGCCAAGUCACGCCCAAGUCACGUUGGACCUGCGAAACGCCUAUCUCCUUGUCCACAUCUGGGAGGGGGAUGAAUGGAAGACAGGCUUCAUAACUCCAACAAGCCACUAUGAGUACCUUGCUAUGCCAUUCAAACUGUCCAACAGCCCUGCAGCCUUCCAAGCCCUGGUAAAUGAUGUCCUGCGGAACUUCCUCAACAGAUUAAUAUUUGUUUACCUGGAUGACAUGCUGAUCAUUUCUAACCUUCAGUUCCACAUCACACAUU
rnacentral:lncRNA from 1 species